rnacentral:rRNA from 1 species
GACGAACGCUGGCGGCGUGCUUAACACAUGCAAGUCGAACGGAAAGGCCCUGCUUUUGUGGGGUGCUCGAGUGGCGAACGGGUGAGUAACACGUGAGUAACCUGCCCUUGACUUUGGGAUAACUUCAGGAAACUGGGGCUAAUACCGGAUAGGAGCUCCUGCUGCAUGGUGGGGGUUGGAAAGUUUCGGCGGUUGGGGAUGGAUGCGCGGCUUAUCAGCUUGUUGGUGGGGUAGUGGCUUACCAAGGCUUUGACGGGUAGCCGGCCUGAGAGGGUGACCGGCCACAUUGGGACUGAGGUACGGACCAGACUCCUACGGGAGGCAGCAGUGGGGAAUAUUGCACAAUGGGCGGAAGCCUGAUGCAGCAACGCCGCGUGCGGGAUGACGGCCUUCGGGUUGUAAACCGCUUUCGCCUGUGACGAAGCGUGAGUGACGGUAAUGGGUAAAGAAGCACCGGCUAACUACGUG